GUAAAACUCGCUACGUUUACCACGUGGUACGUAUUCUUUUGGCAGUCGCGUGCAGCAGCGGGAAGUGACAAACUCGGGUCACCGGCCUUCUCUUCCAUACACUGCCCGCCCGCCCACGCGCCGCAGCCACGUGGUGUCCAACCAGGCCAGCGAGAUUGUUGGGUGACAACGGCGGUAGUACAAGGUCGUUCUAUUCUUGAUGGGUAGUAGUUUCACGUGAGACCGUCCACGAGCUCCAUGGAAAAAAAAAAUUUCUUCUCCAAGUGAUGUUCUUGGAUCGAGAGCUUCGUCUCGGGGGAAAGUGUGGCUCUCAAGCUCAAUGACGUCACCGGCAAUUUUUUCCAAACUCAGAAAGGUCUGCGGCAGGGGAUCCUCUGUCUCCUAUUCUCUUCAACAUUGUUGCAGAUGACACGAUCCUCUUCAUGAACCAUGAUUUGGAUAAAGCCUGAAAUCUCAAACUGGUGCUUUGUAUUUUCGAGCAGCUGUCGGGAUUAAAAAUCAAUUUUCACAAGAAUGAACUCUAUUGCUUCGGCGAGGCGUCGAACUCUGCCCAACAAUACUCUGAGUUGUUUGGUUGCGCGAUGGGGUCGCUCUCUCUUUAGCCCUAUGUCUCUUAUCCCUAGGAGGCCUUCCUCCACUAGCAGGUUUCUUCGGAAAACUCUAUCUAUUCUGGUGUGGAUGGCAAGCAGGCCUUCGUUACUUGGGCAUCCCAGUCCAUCAUCGGAAAUUGACAAAUGCCGAAUGGAAGGGUGUGGAAGAGAGCCUUGAAAAGCAACUUGCGAGUUGGAAGGGCAAGCACCUCUCGAUGGGGGGGCGCCUUGUGCUCAUCAACUCAGUUCCUUAGUAGUAUGGUCAUUUUUAUGAUGUUUUUCUUUGAGAUUCCACGUGGAGUCCUCAAGAGGCUUCAUUUUCGGUCCAGAUUUUUCUGGCAGAAUGAUAGUCAUCAGAAGAAAUAUAGACUUGCUAAAUGGAGUGUCCUGUGCAGGCCAAAUGACCAAGGGGGGUUAGGUAUUCAGGAUCUUGAUGCCAAAAAUACCGCACUUCUCAGCAAAUGGUUAUUCAAACUUUUGUCUGAGGAUGGUAUGUGACAGGACUUGAUACGAAAUAAAUACAUUGGUUCUCAGGCUUUGUCUCAGGUUGAAUGGAGACCAGGUGACUCUCAUUUCUGGGGAGGUCUGAUGAAAGCCAAACGGUUUUUUUUUUCCGUUUCGAAUCUUUCUCAAUUAAGGACGGCUCUCAAGUGAGAUUCUGGGAGGACUCUUGGCUCGGGGGACGCCCCCUCCGAGAGCAAUAUCCGUCUCUGUUUCUCAUUGUGCGUAAUAAGCGUGACACUUUGGCUCAGGUUCUCGCUGCCUUUCCCCCGAAUGUGUCUUUCAGGCGUAGCCUUGUUGCACCCAAAUUGAUCGCCUGGACUGAGCUACUUGAUCGCCUUAUUAAUGUGAACCUAUCCCCUGGGCUUGACGAGUUCCGAUGGAAUCUUCAUGCCAGUGGCGUGUUUUCAGUCAAAUCCAUGUACCAGGCUUUGGUUCAUCAUGAUGUUCCAAUUGCCAGCAAUAGCUUGUGGAAACUAAAGGUUCCUCUCAAGAUUAAAAUUUUCCUUUGGUUCUUGCUGCGGGGGUCACUUUAACUAAAGACAACCUGUUAAAGCGGAAUUGGAAGUGCAGUUCAAAAUACGUUUUUUGUCAUGAAGAUGAGACUAUUGCAUAUCUUUUUUUCCGUUCUCGUGUCUCUCGCUCUGUGUGGUCAAUGGUCCAAAUAGCAUCCAAUCUUUUUCUCCCUCGUGAUGCUACU